CAGCAGCCGCGGUAAUACGAAGGGUGCAAGCGUUAAUCGGAAUUACUGGGCGUAAAGCGUGCGUAGGCGGUGAGUUAAGUCUGCUGUGAAAUCCCCGGGCUCAACCUGGGAAUGGCAGUGGAUACUGGCUCGCUAGAGUGUGUCAGAGGAUGGUGGAAUUCCCGGUGUAGCGGUGAAAUGCGUAGAGAUCGGAAGGAACAUCUGUGGCGAAGGCGACUAUCUGGGCCAACACUGACACUGAGGCACGAAAGCGUGGGGAGCAAACAGGAUUAGAUACCCGCGUAGUCCCUGUCUCUUAUAC
rnacentral:rRNA from 1 species